CAGCAGCCACGGUAAUACGGAGGGUGCAAGCGUUAAUCGGAAUUACUGGGCGUAAAGCGCACGCAGGCGGUCUGACAAGUCAGAUGUGAAAUCCCCGGGCUUAACCUGGGAACUGCAUUUGAAACUGUCAGGCUGGAGUCUUGUAGAGGGGGGUAGAAUUCCAGGUGUAGCGGUGAAAUGCGUAGAGAUCUGGAGGAAUACCGGUGGCGAAGGCGGCCCCCUGGACAAAGACUGACGCUCAGGUGCGAAAGCGUGGGGAGCAAACAGGAUUAGAGACCCCGGUAGUCCCUGUCUCUUAUAC
rnacentral:rRNA from 1 species